AGUGAACGCUGGCGGUAGGCCUAACACAUGCAAGUCGAACGGCAGCACAGUAAGAGCUUGCUCUUACGGGUGGCGAGUGGCGGACGGGUGAGGAAUACAUCGGAAUCUACUUUUUCGUGGGGGAUAACGUAGGGAAACUUACGCUAAUACCGCAUACGACCUACGGGUGAAAGCAGGGGAUCUUCGGACCUUGCGCGAUUGAAUGAGCCGAUGUCGGAUUAGCUAGUUGGCGGGGUAAAGGCCCACCAAGGCGACGAUCCGUAGCUGGUCUGAGAGGAUGAUCAGCCACACUGGGACUGAGACACGGUCCAGACUCCUACGGGAGGCAGCGGUGGGGAAGAUUGGACAAUGGGCGCAAGCCUGAUCCAGCCAUACCGCGUGGGUGAAGAAGGCCUUCGGGUUGUAAAGCCCUUUUGUUGGGAAAGAAAAGCAGCAGGUUAAUACCCCGCUGUUCUGACGGUACCCAAAGAAUAAGCACCGGCUAACUUCGUG
rnacentral:rRNA from 1 species